rnacentral:rRNA from 1 species
AGAGCGAACGCUGGCGGCAGGCCUAACACAUGCAAGUCGAGCGCCCGUAGCAAUACGGGAGCGGCAGACGGGAUAGUAACACGUGGGAACGCGCCCUUCGGUUCGGAAUAACUCAGGGAAACUUGAGCUAAUACCGGAUACGCCCUUACGGGGAAAGAUUUAUUGCCGAAGGAACGGCCCGCGUCCGAUUAGCUAGUUGGUGAGGUAAUGGCUCACCAAGGCGACGAUCGGUAGCUGGUCUGAGAGGAUGACCAGCAUCACUGGGACUGAGACACGGCCCAGACUCCUACGGGAGGCAGCAGUGGGGAAUAUUGGACAAUGGGCGCAAGCCUGAUCCAGCCAUGCCGCGGGGAUGAUGAAGGCCUUAGGGUUGUAAAGUCCUUUUAACGGGGAAGAUAAUGACGGUACCCGUAGAAUAAGCCCCGGCUAACUUCGUGCCAGCAGCCGC